GUGGGGAAUAUUGGACAAUGGGCGAAAGCCUGAUCCAGCGACGCCGCGUGGGUGAAGAAGGCCUGCGGGUUGUAAAGCCCUUUCGGUGGGGAAGAAAAGCCUCGACCUAACACGUCGGGGUAUUGACGUAACCCAUUAAAGAAGCACCGGCUAACUCUGUGCCAGCAGCCGCGGUAAUACAGAGGGUGCGAGCGUUAAUCGGAAUUACUGGGCGUAAAGCGCGCGUAGGCGGUUUUGUAAGUCGGGUGUGAAAUCCCCAAGCUUAACUUGGGAACUGCAUUCGAGACUGCAUAGCUAGAGUAUGGGAGAGAGAAGUGGAAUUUCCGGUGUAGCGGUGAAAUGCGUAGAUAUCGGAAGGAACAUCAGUGGCGAAAGCGACUUCUUGGACCAAUACUGACGCUCAAGUGCGAAAGCGUGGGGAGCAAACAGGAUUAGAUACCCUAGUAGUCC
rnacentral:rRNA from 1 species